UUAUGAUGUACAUUGUGUUUUAUGAUGCAUUCUCUAAGAUGGGUCAAACCUCGGAUUGAUUGGAAAGGCUUGACUUUUCACUCAUCGGGUUUUCCAAGGACGUCAUGCCCGUCGAAAGGGUCAUCACUCUGUCGAUCAUGGCAAGUUAUCAAGUCGGGCACCCUGAUAGUCUAUGGUGCAACUUGACUUUCUAGUCAUCAAGGUCUCAUCAGCAUACAAUGCUAUCCUCG
rnacentral:lncRNA from 1 species